rnacentral:tRNA from 1 species
GCGGGCAUGGCGGAACUGGCAGACGCGCUAGACUUAGGAUCUAGUGGAUUCUUCCGUGGAGGUUCAAAUCCUCUUGCCCGCACCA